UUCGUUAACGAACGAGACCUGCUAAAUAGUUGGGUGAAUCCUCCGGGAUUCACUGCAUAAACUUCUUAGAGGGACUAUCGGCGAUUUAGCCGAUGGAAGUUCGAGGCAAUAACAGGUCUGUGAUGCCCUUAGAUGUUCUGGGCCGCACGCGCGCUACAUUGAUACGAUCAUCGAGCUUACAACCUUGGUUGAGAGGCCUGGGUAAUCUUCUGAAACCGUAUCGUGCUGGGGAUAGAUUAUUGUAAUUUUUAAUCUUCAACGAGGAAUUCCUAGUAAACGCUGGUCAUCAGCCAGCAUUGAUUACGUCCCUGCCCUUUGUACACACCGCCCGUCGCUAAUACCGAUUGAAUGGAUG
rnacentral:rRNA from 1 species